rnacentral:rRNA from 1 species
UGCCAGCCGCCGCGGUAAUACGGAGGGUCCAAGCGUUAUCCGGAUUUAUUGGGUUUAAAGGGUGCGCAGGCGGAACUUUAAGUCAGUGGUGAAAUCUUGCCGCUUAACGGUAAAAUUGCCAUUGAUACUGUUGUUCUUGAGUACAGUUGAGGUAGGCGGAAUGUGUCAUGUAGCGGUGAAAUGCUUAGAUAUGACACAGAACACCGAUUGCGAAGGCAGCUUACUAAACUAUUAUUGACGCUGAAGCACGAAAGCGUGGGUAGCGAACAGGAUUAGAUA